rnacentral:rRNA from 1 species
UACGAAGGGGGCUAGCGUUGCUCGGAAUUACUGGGCGUAAAGCGCACGUAGGCGGCUUCUUAAGUCGGGGGUGAAAUCCUGGAGCUCAACUCCAGAACUGCCUUCGAUACUGGGAAACUUGAGUCCGGGAGAGGUGAGUGGAACUGCGAGUGUAGAGGUGAAAUUCGUAGAUAUUCGCAAGAACACCAGUGGCGAAGGCGGCUCACUGGCCCGGUACUGACGCUGAGGUGCGAAAGCGUGGGGAGCAAACAGG